rnacentral:rRNA from 1 species
AUCGUAACAAGGUUUCCGUAGGUGAACCUGCGGAAGGAUCAUUGUC